rnacentral:lncRNA from 1 species
AUGGGGAAAAAAACGGGAAAAAAUUCCAAGAUUUUAGGCCGAAACGGGGGGAAAAAACGGGAAGAAAAUCUGAGAUUUUUAGACCAACUUAUCCCCAAAAUGAGGCAAAAACAGGAAGAAAAUCCAAGGUUUGAUCUCAAAUAUCCCAAAAUGGGAAAGAAUUCCAAGGUUUUAUCUCAGAUAUCUCAAAAACCAGGAAAAAUUCCAAGUUUUUUUCCCAAAUAUCCCAAAACAGGAAAAAAUUCCAAGGUUUUAACUCAACUAUCCCAAAAAUGGGAAAAGAACAGGAAGAAAAUCCAAGGUUUAGUCUCAAGUAUCCGAAAAUUGGAAAGAAUUCCAAGGUUUUAUCUCAAAUAUCCCCAAAAUGGGUCCCUCCAAUCCCAAAAUUCCAACCAGGAACGAAGAUCCACCUUGGUUAUUCCUGGAUUUGGGUCCGAAAACCCCAAAAUUCCAUCCAGGAUCCGAGAUUUGGGUCCUCAAAUCCCAAAAUUCCAUCCGGGAUCCGAGAUUUGGGUCCUCAAAUCCCAAAAUUCCAUCCGGGAUCCAAGAUUUGGGUCCUCAAAUCCCAAAAUUCCAUCCGGGAUCGAAGAUUUGGGUCCUCAAAUCCCAAAAUUCCAUGUGGGAUCCGAGAUUUGGAUCCUCAAAUCCCAAAAUUCCAUGUGGGAUCCGAGAUUUGGAUCCUCAAAUCCCAAAAUUCCAUCCGGGAUCCAAGAUUUGGCUCCUCAAACCCCAAAAUUCCAUCCGGGAUCCGAGACCCACCCUGGCUUUUCCGGGAAUUCCCGGAUUCCCCCAGACACGGGAGGAGGAAGAACGGAGCAACCCAAGGGUUGGGAAAAUCCCAAAAACUUGAAUUUGGGAAAAUCCCUGAAUCCCAAUUCAGGUGCGGUCCAUGGCCAGGUCUGGAUCCUGAUCCUAAACCUGGUCCUGAUCCUGAUCCUGAUCCUAAAACGAAUCCUGAUCCUAAACCUGAUCCUGAUCCUAAUCCUAAUCCUGAUCCCAAUGUCUAAUCCUAAUCCUAAUCCUAAUCUUAAUACCAAAACUAAUCCUGAUCCUAAUCUUGAUCCUAAUCCUGAUCCUAAACCUGAUCCUGAUCCUAAUAUAAAACUAAUCCUGGUCCUAAACCUGAUCCUGAACCUGAUCCUGAUCCUAAAUGUGAUCAUGAUCCUGAUCCUGAUCCUAAUCCUGAUCCUAAACCUGAUCCUGAUCCUAAUCCUAAAACUAAUCCUGAUCCUAAACCUGAUCCCGAUUCUGAUCCUGAACCUGAUCCUAAAUGUGAUCAUGACCCUGAUCCUGAUCCUAAUCCUGAUCCUAAAACUAAUCCUGAUCCCAAUCCUGAUUCUGAUCCUAAAACUAAUCCUGAUCCUGGUCCUAAUCCUGAUCCUGGUCCUAAUCCUCAUCCUGGCCUUAAUUCGAAUCCUAAUCCUAACCCAAAUCCUAAUCCUAAAACUAAUCUUGAUCCUGACUCUAAUCCCAAAUCCCAAUUCAAGCACGGUCCUAGGCCAGGUCCUGAUCCUGAUCCUAAUCCUGAUCCUGAUCCUAAUCCUAAAAUUAAUCUUGAUCCUAAUUCUGAUCCUGAUCCUAAUCUUGUUCCUAUACCUGAUCCUAAUCCUGAUCCUAAUCCUGAUCCUAAUCCUGACCCUAGUCCUGAUCCUGAUCCUGGUCCUAAACCUGAUCCUAAUCCUGAUCCUGAUCCUAAUCCUAAAACUAAUCUUGAUCCUGACUCUAAUCCCAAAUCCUGAUUCAAGCACGGUCCUAGGCCAGAUCCCGAUCCUGAUCCUAAUCCUGAUUCUGAUCCUAAAUGUGAUCAUGACCCUGGAUCUUGAUCCUAAUCCUGAUCCUAAUCCUGACCCUGGUCCUAAUCCUGAUCCUGAUCCUAAAACUAAUCCUGAUCCUAAAGCUAAUCCUGAUCCUAAUCCCAAUCCUAAAACUAAUCCUGAUCCUGGUCCUAACCGUAAUCCUAAAACUAAUCCUGAUCCUGAUGCUAAAAUCAAUUUUGAUCCUAAAACUAAUCCUGAUCCUAAAACUAUACCUGAUCCUAAUCCCGGACCUAAAACUAAUCCUGAUCCUGGUCCUAACCCUAAUCCUAAUCCUAAAACUGCUCCUGAUCCUGCCUCUAACCCCAAAUCCCAAAUCCAAUUUGGGAUUUUCCCGAUCCCAAUUUUUGGGGUCCCACCUCGAGCAGGAGCGGCCCCAGGGACUCCUUCUCGAUGA